GCUACACUAUCUGUAAUGUUACUAAGGAUUUCUCUGCCAAAAACAGCUCAUUCCCAACUGCAUAAAUUUGAUAUUUUGUAUUCAAGUUAAGAUGCACAAGCUUCCCAAUAUGCUAAUUAUAUCUCGUCAUUUUUCAAGUGACACUGAAGUUACAAGAUGUAUUAUAAAAGUGGAUACCUAAAACAUGUAAAAUGUGUCUCUUUGCACGUACAAUCUAUAAACAUUACAUGUAAUAUUUUUUAAGCUAUGUUCAUCUGUAUUUGACCCUUCUGACUCAAUUUAUCUAUUUGAAGUGUUCAUCUUGCUAUGGAGAUGCUACUGAAGUACAUAUGUAUCUCUCAAGUUUCAAUUAUUAUAUCUGUAAUGUGUUAUAAUUGUAUAUUUUGGACACCUGUUUGUCAGCUAGAUAUAAAAUUGUAAGGCCCUGCACAAGACAAGCACAUGCACAAGUUCAUCGAAAUGGAUAUUUUGUUUUUGCUUGUUUUAAAUUUUUCUGAAACCUUCCCAAAAUUUGUUUAAAAAUACCUUCUUUUAUAGGUUAAUUUAGGCACAAAUUGAGACAUGAUAAUGUAUAUUUAUUUAGAUACCUGCUGAAUGACAGUCUUCUUCAUUUAAAUAUUAUAAUUUGAGAGUAUAAAAUUUCAUAAUGAAGGUCAUAUACAGUUACAAUUUUAUUUAACAUUUCCAGUAAUUUAUUCGAGUCGGAAGGUCAUAUUAAUGGAACACGACACUUCUUAAGACAGUAAUAAGCUGAUUAGUGUUGCAAUAACGCAUUCAUUGACUUAUUUUGGUAUGUAAAAGUACCUUUAAACAAUUGUUUUCACUGACAGGAAAGGAACACAGGAAAUAGAUGGAUAUUUUUGGAAAACAUUAGCAUUUGUAGACGUCAGAAUUUAAGAAAAUUUACAUAUGGACAUAUUUUUGUCUUUUUUGUCCGUUUAAAGAAAUGACUCAUUAUCACCAGUGUUACCAGAAACUGCUUCAGAUUGAAAAUACAGAAAUAAAUAUUCAUAAUUUUUAGCUCAUCUGAUUUUUUGAAAAAAAAUGAUGAGUUAUUGUCAUCACUUGAGCGGUUGUCGGCGUCGGCGUCGGCGUCGGCGUCGGCGUUGCCUGGUUAAGUUUUAUGUUUAGGUCAGCUUUUCUCCUAAACUAUCAAAGCUAUUGCUUUGAAACUUGGAAUACUUGUUCCCCAUCAUAAGCUGACCCUGUAUAGCAAGAAACAUAACUCCAUCUUGCUUUUUGCAAGAUUUAUGGCCCCUUUUGUACUUAGAAAAUAUCAGAUUUCUUGGUUAAGUUUUAUGUUUAGGUCAACUUUUCUCCUAAACUAUCAAAGCUAUUGCUUUGAAACUUGGAAUACUUGUUCACCAUCAUAAGCAGACCCUGUACAUCAAGAAACAUAACUCCAUCUUGCUUUUUGCAAGAUUUAUGGCCCCUUUUGGACUUAGAAAAUCAGUUUUCUUGGUUAAGUUUUAUGUUUAGGUCAGCUUUUAUCCUAAACUAUCAAAGCUAUUGCUUUAAAACUUGCAACACUUGUUCACCAUCAUAAGUUGACCCUGUAUAGCAAGAAACAUAACUCCGUCCUGCUUUUUGCAAGAUUUAUGGCCCCUUUUUGACUUAGAAAAUAUCAGAUUUCUUGGUUAAGUUUUAUGUUUAGGUCAACUUUUUCUCUUAAACUAUCAAAGCUAUUGCUUUGAAACUUGCAACACUUGUUCACCAUCAUAAGCUGACCCUGUACAGCAAGCAACAUAACUCCAUCCUGCUUUUUGCAAUAAUUAUUGCCCCUUUUGGACUUAGAAAAUCAUUUUCUUGGUUGAGUAUUAUGUUUAAGUCAACCUUUCUCAUAAACUAUCAAAGCUAUUGCUUUAAAACUUGCAACAGUUUUUCACCAUCAUAAGUGGACACUGUACAUCAAGAAACAUAACUCUAUCCUGCUUUUUGCAAGAAUGAUGGCCCUUUUUAGACUUAGAAAAUCAUGGGUAGGACAAUAUUUCUAUUACACAAAAAAAAUCAGAUGAGCGUCAGCACCCGCAAGGCGGUGCUCUUGUUGUUUAUAAGUUUGUUGAGUUUACGAACAUGUCUUGUUUAUAGUCUCUGUUAAAAUUUUAGUGUGUGUGCAUUAAAGUAAUAGUGUAACAGUGCAUUACAAUUUUUUCCCGCUAACCCAAGCUAAAACCACAGAAUUUCUAACUGUAAUUGUGUGUAUAAGAAGACUUAAUUUAUGUACGAGAUAACCUUCUCGGAUGCAUCUUUAAUGCAAACUACUUUAUGAGCUGAUCAAAUACCAAAAGUUUGUUUUGACACUCUGAUUUAAUAGUUUUUUUGUGUCGUUAAGCGCUCAUUUUGGUAGUCGACUGAUAAAUAAAUAAGGGGUUAUUAAAGUACACCAAAAUAUCAAAUUUUGUUCAUUUUAGGCUUAUUCAUAUAUGUUUUUUUUUAAUGGUGUAAAAAAUCUUAUUUUCAUCCCUUGCAUGUAAUUUUAUUAGUAUAUCCCAUUAAGAAAUGUUAAUAGCGGAAUUAUAGCAAAGAAAUAUAGUAAAAUUUGAAUACUGAUAAGGGAUAUGAGAAAUGUUGAAAUGUCUGUAGUAAUUAUACAUCCAACUUGCCAGACUGUAUGAAGAUUGUUGGUCAGCCAGUCCAAGCGAAUUAUGAACAUUAUAAAUAGAAUGAUAUUUAUGUUGUAUUCCCUAAGCUUUUGACUUGCUAUUGACAUUUUGGAAUAAAAUUUCAGUCUGCUUACACCACAUUUUUGUCAACAUAUCGAUACAUAUUCAUUGUCCCUCAUAGAGUUCUAACAUGCUGAUGAACCACAGUUUGCUUUAUCAGAGAAUUUUCUUUGAAUUUUUGGAGUGCUCUUUAAAGAUAUAUAUUGCUUUAAACAGAAAAAAGGCCAUGGUGUUUUUUAACCAGGUUUUCAACAAAAACCUGAGUUAUUAGAUUGGGGUAUGUCGUUGGUCGGGCGGAUGGGCGGGCGGCGGCGUCAAACUGGUGUUUCCGGUCAAUAACUUUUGUUUCGGUAAAGAUAUUUGAAUAAAACUUGGUAUGUAUGUAGCUUAUAUCAAGACAAAGGCUGGGAUUGAUUUUGGGGUUUCUGGGGUCAAGGUCAAGGUCACUGUUACUUAAAAUAGAAAAAGGGUUUCCGGUCAAUAACUUAACUUGGGAAU